AUGUCUGUCAGCACACACAGGCCUGCGGGCCCAGACGCCGGGGCACGGGGCGCUCCUUCCCACCCCUCCUCACGCGUCCCUCAGCCCGGGGCCCCGCGGCCGCCAUUUCACGGCCCGAGGGCGGGCGGGCGCCCGGGGGGCUCCGGGCCGAGGACCGCCCGCAGGUGUGCCCGUGCCACCGGGCCGUGCCCCAGCCACCCCAGGCGGCCUGCGGGGAGGGCGGGCAAGGCGGCGGCGGAGGAGGAGGGGCGGCGGGCGGUGAGAUGGGCUGGGGCAGGCAGCGGCCCGCGCCUUGCUCCGGUACCGAAGGAACCGCUGCGGGCUCAGGGGGCCUGCCCGCGGUCUCUACCCGCCGCUGAGGCGCUGAGCGCCGCCUCCUCAUCCUCCUCCUCCUCCUUCGGGGAGGCGCGGCGGGGCCGGCAGGAGGAAGCUGCGCCCUCCUCCCCUCCCUCCAUCCAUCCCUUCCCCUUCAUCCCUCCCGGUGCUGGCGGCGGCUCCUCCCUCGGCGUGCGAGCCGCAGCGGCCGGCGAGCGGGGCGGAGGGGCGGCGCGGCGCCGAGCGGGGCCCGCUGUGCUGGUGGUGGAGGUGGUGGCGGCGGCGGCAGCAGCAAGAGGAGGAGGAGGGAGAGGAGGAGGAGGAGGAGGAGCGGGAGCCGCGGACCGGCGCCUCCCCGCAGCCCCGCCGCUGGGCCCCGCCGGCGCCCCCCAUGCCCGUGUGGUGCUGCCGCUGCUCCCUGGCCGGUCCCGUCAGAAAUUACAGCAGCCCUGAAACUGAAGGACAGCUUUUGAAUUCCUUCGUCCAGUAUUUUGGUGACAGCCUUGGGAGGAAGAUUAAAAGAAUGCCUUUAAUAGAAGAAACUGUUCUGCCUGGGGACUCUCUCCUUACUCUGCCUGUAGUAAUAAUAGGUAAGUUGUUUUGUUAACUCUUGAAAUUGUGUCACUGCCGUUGCCUUUAUAAACCUGCUGCAUGAAGUCAUUUAUCAUAAAAUAAAUAAUGCUUAAUGUACUUACA
rnacentral:lncRNA from 1 species